rnacentral:rRNA from 1 species
AAUAGUUCUGUCAGUGAACAUAUACUCAGAAUGUCUGGGUACCACAACCACUUGACUCAACUGGGAGUUAAUCUUGCUAAUGAUAGUGUCAUUGAUAGAGUUCUUCAAUCACUGCCACCAAGCUACAAAAUCUUCGUGAUGAAAUAUAAUAUGCAAGGGAUGGAUAAGACAAUUCCCGAGCUAUUCGCGAUGCUAAAGGUUGUGGAGGUAGAAACCAAGAAGGAGCAUCAAGUGUUGAUGGUUAACAAGACCACUAAUUUCAAGAAGAAGGGCAAAGGAAAGAAGGGGAACUUCAAGAAGAAUGGCAAGCAAGUUGCUGCUCAAGUGAAGAAGCCCAAGUCUGGACCUAAGCCUGAGACUGAGUGCUUCUACUGCAAAGGGACUGGUCACUGGAAGCGGAACUAC